CCCUUAGAUGUCCUGGGCUGCACGCGCGCUACACUGAUGUGUCCAGUAAGCACCUAACCUCUUCCGAAAGGAACGGGUAACCUUUGCAAAGCACAUCGUGAUGGGGAUAGAUUAUUGCAAUUAUUAGUCUUGAACGAGGAAUUCCUAGUAAGCACAAGUCAUCAGCUUGUGUUGAUUACGUCCCUGCCCUUUGUACACACCGCCCGUCGCUCCUACCGAUUCAAUGUUCCGGUGAGCUCUUCGGACUGCGCGGUCUGCAGUUUCUGCGUUCCGUGCGGAAAGUUGCGCAAACCUUAACAUUUAGAGGAAGGAGAAGUCGUAACA
rnacentral:rRNA from 1 species